UGUAACUGCCUUAGCAUAUAGGUGGCUCGUUGCUGAUCUUGUCUGAACUCAGAAGCUAACUGGAUCUGAUCCUUGUUGGUACUUGGAUGGGAGACGCCUAGCAUUUCUGGACACAGUCAACU
rnacentral:rRNA from 1 species